rnacentral:rRNA from 1 species
AGACACGCUGGCGGCGUGCUUAACACAUGCAAGUCGAACGGAGAUUAUUAAUGAAGCUUGCGAUUUAAUAAUCUUAGUGGCGGACGGGUGAGUAACGCGUGGGCAACCUACCCAUAAGAGGGGGAUAACAGCUGGAAACGGCUGCUAAUACCGCAUAAACUUUUUAAGACACAUGUUUUAAAAAGGAAAGGUGGCGCAAGCUAUCGCUUAUGGAUGGGCCCGCGUCUGAUUAGCUAGUUGGUGGGGUAACGGCCUACCAAGGCAACGAUCAGUAGCCGGCCUGAGAGGGUGGACGGCCACACUGGGACUGAGACACGGCCCAGACUCCUACGGGAGGCAGCAGUGGGGAAUAUUGCGCAAUGGGGGAAACCCUGACGCAGCGACGCCGCGUGAGCGAAGAAGGCCUUAGGGUUGUAAAGCUCUGUUCUAUGGGACGAAGUCCUUGACUGUGAAUAAUGGUCAAGGUUGACGGUACCAUAGGAGGAAGCCCCGGCUAACUACGUG